GCCUGCCGUCUCUCUCCCGAGUUCCUUCUCCUCUAGGCUCCCACGCCGCCGCCGCCGCCAAGAGAGCACGCCGCCGCCAGAGGACUCGCCGUCGUCGGGCCCCGCGUGCGGAUCCACAAGGGCCAGACCUAGCUCUCCGCGGUUCGUCGGCUCUGGCGCUCCGCCCUACCAACCCGACGUGCAACAGUGCCGAGGCUUCAAGGCGGCGAGCACCCGCAUCUUCGGCGAGGUUGUAAUCUCCGACGCGUCUCCGCACUUAGGAAUUCUCAGUGAGAAAAGGGAAGCUCUGUGAGAGGGGCUAGGGAAGAAGGAAACGAGCAUCAGUUGAAUCGGGUGGAUCAUAUCUGUAAGGAAAGGAUACCAAACAUGUCAUCUCGAAUUUCUAAGAUAGCAAGGAAGUCUGUGGUUAUUGUGGCCGAUAAGGAUGAUUCUGAUGCCUAUUGUAGUGGUUGUGUCAUGAUUAAGGACACGUCUGUCAGAGUGAUAGCCCCAUUAGGUUUUGUCAAGGGGAGGGAGAGGCGCUUGAAGGUGGUAUUUUUUGACAAGACAGAGUUUGAUGCUGAACUGGUUGCUGUACGAGAUUCAUUUUGUUCACUCAGAACAGUAUUUCACUCAGGCUGUGAGAAGAUUAGUUUGUUUGAAGAUGAGCAUCUUGUUGGACCUCUGUGCACCUUCAUGUUUGUUCCUCAAUCUCGCAUGACUAAUCAGAAAAUGUCUACAUAUGCCACAGUGGAAUCUCUUGAGUCGUAUUUAAAAGUUGAGACAAUUCAGAGAGUCAAUUCCACAAACUAUUUUAUGGUGUCUUGUCCUUAUUUUGGGAAGACUCUUAGUGGGAUUAAUAGGUUGAGUGCUGCACCUGUGUUCACCAUCUUGGGUAAGACCAUGGGCAUUGUUUUGCAAGAUUGUCGUCCUGAGGUACCUGGAGCUAGAUGAAAGUUGUGCUGAAAGCAACAUAUCUUCGUGAGUUGAUGAUGUCACUUGACCCACCGGCGCCAUCAAGGAAUCUAAGAAAGAAGAGAAAGAGAAAGUGUCACUAAGGAAAGAAACUUUUGAGUUUUUUGUACCCAACUAUCCUUGUAUAAUGUAUCCCUUUUGUUAGAUUUGCUUGUUCGCAUAUUUAUGCAACUCUAAUUGUGUUUGCUUGUCGUAUUUUUUA